ACAUUUCAGUUGAGGAAAGCUUUUUUCCACACCUCUUUUGUCGGGCAGGUGCUAGGAUGUGACCAAAAGUAGCAGAUUAGAAAGC